CAGGAGUUCCGGUUACCCGGUCACUGUAUUGUGCAGUAUACCUAACAUAUCGAUAUACUACCGAUUUGAUUGGUUAAUAGCUAUUUUAAAACAUAGCAUUAUCAAUUUAUUUGAACAUUUGGAAAGAAAAAAUCCAUCAAACUUAUUUUAAAAGAGGGACAAAAGAUACCAGAGGGACAGUCAAACUCAUAGAUUGAAAAUAAACCGACAACGCCAUGGCUAAAAAUAAAAAAGACAAACAGACAAAUAAUAGUACAGAAGACACACCAUAGAAAAUGCAGACGACAUGGUCAAUUCACGGC
rnacentral:lncRNA from 1 species